UAGGGAAUCUUCGGCAAUGGACGAAAGUCUGACCGAGCAACGCCGCGUGAGUGAAGAAGGUUUUCGGAUCGUAAAACUCUGUUGUUAGAGAAGAACAAGGACGUUAGUAACUGAACGUCCCCUGACGGUAUCUAACCAGAAAGCCACGGCUAACUACGUGCCAGCAGCCGCGGUAAUACGUAGGUGGCAAGCGUUGUCCGGAUUUAUUGGGCGUAAAGCGAGCGCAGGCGGUUUCUUAAGUCUGAUGUGAAAGCCCCCGGCUCAACCGGGGAGGGUCAUUGGAAACUGGGAGACUUGAGUGCAGGAGAGGAGAGUGGAAUUCCAUGUGUAGCGGUGAAAUGCGUAGAUAUAUGGAGGAACACCAGUGGCGAAGGCGGCUCUCUGGUCUAUAACUGACGCUGAGGCUCGAAAGCGUGGGGAGCAAACAGG
rnacentral:rRNA from 1 species